rnacentral:lncRNA from 12 species
CUGAUGUUCUAAUUUCUGAAAUUGUAGCUCUGUUUUCUACUUGUUGCUCUUGAUUCAUUCAGGAAUUAAUUUUUCAUCCUAGUGUGGCAGUAAGCAUUUAUAUGGAAGGACUAGCAUCUUGUUAACAGUAGUCAGCAGCAGGGAGGAACAGAACCAGAGUUUGACUGCACUUCUAUGUGAAUUGCAGCUUUCCUUCAUCCCAGGGGCUGCUAUAUUUCCUUGCAUCUGCACCUUCUAAGAAAGGAGAAUAAGAAAUAAAGUUUCAUACCAGCAUUGAGUAGAUGCUGUGGGAGAC